rnacentral:rRNA from 1 species
CAAUAGCGUAUAUUAAAGUUGUUGCGGUUAAAAAGCUCGUAGUUGGAUUUCUGCUGAGAACGACCGGUCCGCCCUUUGGGUGUGUAUCUGGCUCUUUCUUGGCAUCUUCUUGGUGAACGUUGCUGCACUUGACUGCGUGGAGCGCUACCCAGGACUUUUACUUUGAGGAAAUUAGAGUGUUUCAAGCAGGCAUACGCCUUGAAUACAUUAGCAUGGAAUAAUAAGAUAGGACCUCGGUUCUAUUUUGUUGGUUUCUAGAGCUGAGGUAAUGAUUAAUAGGGAUAGUUGGGGGCAUUCGUAUUUAACUGUCAGAGGUGAAAUUCUUGGAUUUACGGAAGACGAACAUCUGCGAAAGCAUUUGCCAAGGAUGUUUUCAUUGA